rnacentral:sRNA from 1 species
AAUCAUUUCGGAUUACCACUAAAAAAAGGGGGUAGUUAGCGUAUCCUUGGACGCGUUCUU